GGAUGAACGCUGGCGGCGUGCCUAAUACAUGCAAGUCGAACGCUUUGUGGUUCAACUGAUUUGAAGAGCUUGCUCAGAUAUGACGAUGGACAUUGCAAAGAGUGGCGAACGGGUGAGUAACACGUGGGAAACCUACCUCUUAGCAGGGGAUAACAUUUGGAAACAGAUGCUAAUACCGUAUAACAAUGACAACCGCAUGGUUGUUAUUUAAAAGAUGGUUCUGCUAUCACUAAGAGAUGGUCCCGCGGUGCAUUAGCUAGUUGGUAAGGUAAUGGCUUACCAAGGCGAUGAUGCAUAGCCGAGUUGAGAGACUGAUCGGCCACAAUGGGACUGAGACACGGCCCAUACUCCUACGGGAGGCAGCAGUAGGGAAUCUUCCACAAUGGGCGAAAGCCUGAUGGAGCAACGCCGCGUGUGUGAUGAAGGGUUUCGGCUCGUAAAACACUGUUGUAAGAGAAGAAUGACAUUGAGAGUAACUGUUCAAUGUGUGACGGUAUCUUACCAGAAAGGAACGGCUAAAUACGUGCCAGCAGCCGCGGUAAUACGUAUGUUCCAAGCGUUAUCCGGAUUUAUUGGGCGUAAAGCGAGCGCAGACGGUUAUUUAAGUCUGAAGUGAAAGCCCUCAGCUCAACUGAGGAAUUGCUUUGGAAACUGGAUGACUUGAGUGCAGUAGAGGAAAGUGGAACUCCAUGUGUAGCGGUGAAAUGCGUAGAUAUGUGGAAGAACACCAGUGGCGAGGGCGGCUUUCUGGACUGUAACUGACGUUGAGGCUCGAAAGUGUGGGUAGCAAACAGGAUUAGAUACCCUGGUAGUCCACACCGUAAACGAUGAGUGCUAGGUGUUUGAGGGUUUCCGCCCUUAAGUGCCGCAGCUAACGCAUUAAGCACUCCGCCUGGGGAGUACGACCGCAAGGUUGAAACUCAAAGGAAUUGACGGGGACCCGCACAAGCGGUGGAGCAUGUGGUUUAAUUCGAAGCAACGCGAAGAACCUUACCAGGUCUUGACAUCCCUUGACAACUCCAGAGAUGGAGCGUUCCCUUCGGGGACAAGGUGACAGGUGGUGCAUGGUUGUCGUCAGCUCGUGUCGUGAGAUGUUGGGUUAAGUCCCGCAACGAGCGCAACCCUUAUUACUAGUUGCCAGCAUUUAGUUGGGCACUCUAGUGAGACUGCCGGUGACAAACCGGAGGAAGGUGGGGAUGACGUCAAAUCAUCAUGCCCCUUAUGACCUGGGCUACACACGUGCUACAAUGGCGUAUACAACGAGUUGCCAACCCGCGAGGGUGAGCUAAUCUCUUAAAGUACGUCUCAGUUCGGAUUGUAGGCUGCAACUCGCCUACAUGAAGUCGGAAUCGCUAGUAAUCGCGGAUCAGCACGCCGCGGUGAAUACGUUCCCGGGUCUUGUACUCACCG
rnacentral:rRNA from 1 species